rnacentral:misc_RNA from 1 species
AAGUCGUAACAAGGUUUCCGUAGGUGAACCUGCGGAAGGAUCAUUACCGAGAUUUUUUCCUGCUUGCAGGAAAUCUCCCACCCUUUUGUGUAACUAAAUUUUGAUAUACUUUGGUAAAGCGCUUGUUGAGCAUACGUGCUAAGCAACCAGUGACUGACUUUUUUUUUAUGUUAGUGGCUGUGUCUUUGCCAAAGGACCCCAAAUAUAACUCUAUUUUAUAUAAUUAUUUUGUCUGAGUUUAUAAUUUUUAAAAUAAACAAAACUUUCAACAACGGAUCUCUUGGUUCUG